rnacentral:tRNA from 1 species
GAGUCACGCAUUUUGCUUAGGUUACAAGUCCC